CCUGUGCGCACACAACUCCACCGGCCUUCCCCUCCCCCUCCCCCAUUCCUCCGGCGGGAAUUGUCCCGCACUUUCGGACGAGCACCUCGGAGACCCCCGCCCCGAGCGCCUCCCUCCAGCCGCAUUCCGAUCUUUCGAAGGCUCUAGGGUUUCGCAUAAGCAAACCUGGUCCUAGAUCUCGCGCUCCGUCUGUCUCCGGAUCCCAGUGAUGUCCUCCUCCGGAGACCCUAGGAAGCUGGACAGCCAGGCGCUACUGGAGAAGCAGAAUGCCUCCGCAAAACAAAUCCAGGAAAUUACAUGGAGAGGCUGCUGAUUUUUUUGGUCAAUUAUUCUUCUUCUUUGAUGCAAAGCUAGACGAUGAUGUCGACAUACUUUGUCAAGUAUGUGGCAUGCUUCUACAGUAUGUUAAAUGUGAUGCAGGAGGUCUUGUCAGUCUUUUUGCAACCGUGGAUUACUCUGAAGUGGGACCUUCAGUGAUCAUCAGAGUGAGGAAAUUUUUACACAUGUGUAUUGAUGCUCUCUAUGUCAAGAGGUUUCAGUUGGUUAACCAACCUGAGGCAUCAUCAGAGAGUGAUCUCAUGCCUUUUGUCCAAUUACUUAGAACAGCGAUAUGCUUACUGAGUCACAAGCUUCCAUGGAACUGUGAAGUAAUUGGAUAUCUCCAUCAGAAAAAGGUCUUCUGCUUAUUUCGGGAGAUCAUCAUGGUUGUCGUGCAAAAUGAACGGCAAUUGAAGCAUCGUGAUUUUCUGUCUGCACUUUAUGAAGUUCUUGCACUUGUUGCUUCACAUGUUGGCAACCAUCCAUGUUCUUGUGUACUUUUGGAUCCAAAAUGGAGCUUUUCCUCGCAGAUUCUUACCAUUCCUUUUCUAUGUCAUCGGUUGCCAGAGUUUAUGAAGGUUUUAUCUGCUGAUGAAUUCAAAACAGAGUAUAUGUAUCAGAUAGCUUGCGCUGACGUUCUUCCAAACGACACAUUGGCUAACCAUCCUGGACAAGCAUAUGUACUUUCAAAUGUACUUGACAUUGCGACUUUGAUUUUCUCUGAAUCAGGCUUCGAUUCUGACAGAGCAGCUGGAAUCAUUAAUUUUUGUACCUCAUUGCUUGAUGCGUUCCCAAAAAUUGCAUCAUCUAUUCAAAGUACACAUGUUGAUGGUGCAAUGCCCAUUGAAGCUGAUGAUUUCAACCACCUUGAUGUUGAUCUGCAAAGACACAUAUUGACAUCGGUUGAAUGUUUGGUGAAUGGUGUACUUAGUGGUAUAUCGAGCACAGGUUCUUCUGAUACAGCUGGCCCUUCAAGUGCUAAACUGCAAUUAGUAGGACCUAUCAGUGCUUUUCUUCAUGGCAUGUUAAGCACAGGUUUUGUUGAGGGGAUUAUGACUGUGUUGGUGUACAAUACUGAAAUUGUUCCUGCACUUUGGAACUAUAUAAAGAGCUGCUGCAAGAAUGAUAAACGGAAGUCUUUUCCUGAGCGGGAUACUCCUAGCUGGCUACUACCUUUGUCCAUUUUCUGCUCCAUGUAUAGCCAUAUCUUAGAGUUGGUGGAUAUUGCGGAGUUCAGAGAUUGUAAGAAACCUCUCUCUCUUUCUCUUGAGGAGUUGAAGUCUCUUGUUUCCAUUUUGAAGGAGGCUUUGUGGGAACUUCUGUGGACCAUUCCUGUACAAACCUCUACUUUACAGACAUCACCCACCCCAGGUAGUAAGACAUUGUUGACUGAGAGUCUUAAGCACAGUGCUAGGACUGGACUAUGUGAACUAUUUACAAAGUUGGAGGACUGGAAUAUCAGAAAUUCAUUUGUUGAUGCUAGUGAGUUUUGUUCUAAAGAAGAUUUUAGCGACGAAUUUGUGCUUCAGGCAUCUAUUGCGGGGACUCGUGAAUCAGAAAUUAUAAGACUUGCUCCGUUGUUGGUGCCGUUUGACAUUAGACUCAAAAUUUUCAGUCAAUAUUUGGUAUUCGAUCAGGCACACAUGGCCGACUUUAGACAAGUUCCUGCGCCUCGUACCUUAGAAAUCAGAAGAAACCAAUUACUGGAAGAUGCUAUUCACAAUAUAAGCCUUUUAUCUGUAGAAGAUCUUAAAGGAACGAUUCAAGUGGUUUUCUUUGAUGAGCAUGGCAUGAGGGAAGCUGGAGUUGAUGGUGGUGGUAUUUUUCGUGAUUUCAUGAAUACCACGACUAAGACUGCUUUCGAUGCACGGGCUGGUUUGUUCAUGGAAACAGAUGAUCAUUUAUUAUAUCCAAACCCCGAGUCAAUAUCGACUGCUGGCGAACAUCAUCUUCAGAAGUUUCAUUCUCUCGGAGUUCUACUCGGGAAGGCCAUAUAUGAGAGGGUACCUGUUGACCUGUCAUUUGCAAUAUUCUUUUUAAGGAAGUUGAAAGAGAAGCCUACAUUCUUUAAUGAUCUUUUCUCACUGGAUCCAGUAUAUUAUGACAAUCUAUGUGGUAUGAAGAAGAAUCCGGGGCUUUGGUUGGAUUUUCCAAACCUGCUUCCUGGUGUUGGAGAGAUUGAUGUUAACAAUGAUAAUGUUAUUACAUAUAUGCAUCUUCGUGCCAACGAGAAGUUAAAUUUUCAGGCCUGUAUUCAAACUGCACAGUUUUUGAGAGGUCUUCAACAAUUGAUACCUAAAAAAUGGAUCGAUAUGUUCAAUGAACAUGAAUUUCAGCUUCUCAUAUCUGGCCCUCCGUGCUUGAAUUUAGAAGACUUGCUCUUGAACACGAAAUAUGGUGGGGAAUAUCACGAGUAACGGAGGUGACGUGGUGUCAUUAGCAGAGGUUACUGUAGCUUGAUUAUCCGGGCGUCACAGCUCUUCCAUACCAGCUUCCAAGAAUGGCACCGUGUGGAUCCCUGAAAACUGGCCGCAUAACACGAGCGCGCCGAGUAGAUGCCAUUGGUGGUCCACCUCCAGAGCAGGCGAUCCGGCUCGUUCGUCAGGAUGGUGUGGCACACAGCCUGCCACAGCAGCAUGUAUUGGCCGAUCUCGUGCAGACCCAGGACCCCUUGUAUAUCAUGUGCCCAAGAGUUACCUGCCAGCCCUUCUGCCACCGUCCUGGCCUUGCGUCGAUGUAACCCAGGAUCAUGAGGUUAUUGUUAUGUUUUGGAAUGUCUUAAGGAGGUUCAGCCAGAAUGAACAAAAGCAGUUUCUCUUAUUGACUCAAUAACCACUUAAAAUCAAUGGUCCUAUUGAAGGUUUUGAAACUCUUGACCCGAAUUUCAGAAUAACGAGUUAUGUUAUUCCUGGCACAGACGAUACAGGCCGUCUGCCUAGAGCACAUACAUGCUUUAAUGAGUUGAUGCUUCCUCCAUAUCAGAUAAAAGAACAGAUGCGAGACAGGUUGUCAGUGGCUAUAUCUGCGAAUGCUGGUUUUGAUCUCAUGUGAUUCAUCAUUGGUGUAGAGUGUAACUAGUUGCUAGAUAAGACUUGGAUGGUAGGCGUUUUGGGUGGAAGGUUAUGGUAACAACUCUUAUAACGUUGUAAUUUGUUGAGCGUGUAUAUUUGAGGAAUUCGGAUAUGGAAAUGUGUAUAUCCUGACCGCACAAAUUUACCUAUUGCACUCUAGCUUAUCAUAAACUCUCCAGCCAAUUCACUGUCGACUUCUA